ACAGAGGGUGCAAGCGUUGUUCGGAAUUACUGGGUGUAAAGCGCGCGCAGGCGGAAGUGCAAGUCUGGAGUGGAAUCUCGCCGCUCAAUGGCGGGGCUGCUUUGGAAACUGCACCUCUAGGGAUCGGUAGAGGCUGGUAGAAUUGCAGGUGUAGCGGUGGAAUGCGUAGAGAUCUGCAAGAAUACCCGUGGCGAAGGCGACCAGCUGGGCCGAAUCCGACGCUGAGGCGCGAAAGCGUGGGGAGCAAACAGGA
rnacentral:rRNA from 1 species